rnacentral:sRNA from 1 species
CUGUCGACCAACUCACGGGCUUCGCCAAUCAAAUCGCUGCGAUCUGCUUUGCCCUUCGUGGCGAUGAUGCGCAGUCUCGUGAGUGCGGC